AAAGAUUUGGUGCGUAAUAUGCGUGCGAACUCAUAUGCCGGUAUCAUCGAAAUUUACAGACCUACCAGUGGAAACUAAGGUUUUAUAAUUGGAAUUUGGAAUGCUGGGUGUAUUGGGCUGUAUUUGACUGUACACAUGCCACCCCAUUGUAAAUUAAGAAGAGAUAUUACUGUAGAAAACAAUACCAUUCAUUAAAUAUAUAAUUGGUUAGUAAUGCUGACAUGGAGAUUAUAAGUGUGGAUGCCAACUGGAACUGGAGCUACUCAUGACAUUUGGGCAAACCAGAGA